GACUCUUAGCAGUGGUUCACCCCACUCCUGCAUCGAUGAAGGACACAGCUGCAAGAAUUAAUCUGAAUUGCAGGACAAAUUGAUCAUAGACACUUCAAACGCACUUGCUGCCCCGGCUUCCUCCGGAGGCUAGGCCUCUCUGAACUUCG
ensembl:rRNA 5_8S_rRNA 5.8S ribosomal RNA